GACGAACCGUGCGAACGUUGUUCGGAAUCACUGGGCUUAAAGGGCGCGUAGGCGGGCCACCAAGUCCGGGGUGAAAGCCCCCAGCUUAACUGGGGAAGUGCCUUGGAUACUGGUGGUCUCGAGGAGGGUAGGGGCAUCUGGAACGUUGGGUGGAGCGGUGAAAUGCGUUGAUAUCCAACGGAACUCCGGUGGCGAAAGCGAGGUGCUGGACCCUUCUGA
rnacentral:rRNA from 1 species